rnacentral:rRNA from 1 species
CCUACGGGAGGCAGCAGUGAGGAAUAUUGGUCAAUGGGCGGGAGCCUGAACCAGCCAAGCCGCGUGAGGGAAGAAGGUACAGCGUAUCGUAAACCUCUUUUGUCAGGGGACAAAAUCAGGCUCGAGAGCCUGAACGAGGGUACUUGAAGAAAAAGCAUCGGCUAACUCCGUGCCAGCAGCCGCGGUAAUACGGAGGAUGCGAGCGUUAUCCGGAUUUACUGGGUGUAAAGGGAGCGUAGACGGUUAUGUAAGGCUGGAGUGAAAGCCCGGGGCCCAACCCCGGGACUGCGUUGGAAACUGGCUAACUGGAGUACAGGAGGGGUAAGCGGAAUGCCCGGUGUAGCGGUGAAAUGCGUAGAUAUCAGGAGGAACACCGGCGGCGAAGGCGGCAUGCUGGACUGAAACUGACGUUGAGGCUCGAAAGCGUGGGGAGCAAACAGGAUUAGAUACCCGAGUAGUC